rnacentral:misc_RNA from 1 species
AAAAAAAAAAAAAAUUAAAGAAUAAAAAAGAAAAGAAAGGAAUGGUGACUGCUACUUUUCCCAAAUGCAUUUGAAGCCAUGUCUGGUUUAUGGAUUGAAUAUUGCAAAAUGGGCUAGGCUUUGCAUUUUUGUGCUAAUGAAAUAUGGUGAUGAUAAUUAUGCUAUAUUAUAUGUAGGAAAGAUCACGGCACAGCCAUAAAGAUUGGUAUUGGUGGUACCUUGUUAUUGAACCUUAAGAAUUAUACCACAGGGGAUGUAUAAAACCAGGAAUCCAUUUACAUACCCAAUAUCUCUAAUGGACCUAAACAUGCGAGUGUGGAUCCUUUCUGCAACUUAUGUUCAGUAAACAUAGGAACUUUGAAUAUGCCGUAGACUUCUAAAUUUAUCGAACAAAUUAAAAGUUGCAG